UCAGUUAUCACAGUGCUGAUG
rnacentral:piRNA from 1 species